GACGAACGCUGGCGGCGUGCUUAACACAUGCAAGUCGAACGGAAAGGCCCUGCUUUUGUGGGGUGCUCGAGUGGCGAACGGGUGAGUAACACGUGAGUAACCUGCCCUUGACUUUGGGAUAACUUCAGGAAACUGGGGCUAAUACCGGAUAGGAGCUCCUGCUGCACGGUGGGGGUUGGAAAGUUUCGGCGGUUGGGGAUGGACUCGCGGCUUAGCAGCUUGUUGGUGGGGUAUUGGCUUACCAAGGUUUUGACGGCUAGCCGGCAUGAGAGGGUGACCGGCCACAUUGGGACUGAGAUACGGCCCAGACUCCUACGGGAGGCAGAAGUGGGGAGUAUUGCGCAAUGGGCGGAAGCCUGAUGCAGCAACGCCGCGUGCGGGAUGACGGCCUUCGGGUUGUAAACCGCUUUCGCCUGUGACGAAGCGUGAGUGACGGUAAUGGGUAAAGAAGCACCGGCUAACUACGUG
rnacentral:rRNA from 1 species